AUGUGUUUGUAAGUUUCUACGACAGCAAAGAAGCUGAAGCUGAUAUAAGAGACAUUUAUCAACAGUUUUAAGAAAAUUUGAGAAGCAGCAGCAGCUAUGGACCCUAAUGUCAACCGUGGUUCGCUCGAACUUGCCUGAGGACACUCCAACGUCAGCGAACCGGAUGUAAAACAGUCCGAAAGAGGGAAUUGCCUGCUGUUGUAAUGACAGACUGCCGCCGCUAGAUAGAGAUAGAAUACAGGAGUCAACAGGGUCUUACAAUUCAAGCACAACUCAACGAUGGCAAACCAGUCAGCAUAAUGUAUUUCUUGGGCAGCAGAGAGAUCAAGCAAUGGAACAGGAAACACACAGAUGUUUACUAUGGACAAUUUUGCUCUGACACACAGUGACAUGUCCUAUUGCGUUUUCUGCCAGUGGGAAAGGCAUCAGCGGAGUCUCUGGGAGCUGUCCUGAACACCUCUCGCUCUGCGUUUCCCCUGGUGUGAAUGUAAGAUUCCUUCAGCUGAUCGCAGCCCUUCUGAUGACAG
rnacentral:lncRNA from 1 species